AUUGAACGCUGGCGGAAUGCUUUACACAUGCAAGUCGAACGGCAGCACGGACUUCGGUCUGGUGGCGAGUGGCGAACGGGUGAGUAAUACAUCGGAACGUGCCCAGUCGUGGGGGAUAACGUAGCGAAAGCUACGCUAAUACCGCAUACGAUCUAAGGAUGAAAGCGGGGGAUCGCAAGACCUCGCGCGACUGGAGCGGCCGAUGGCAGAUUAGGUAGUUGGUAGGGUAAAGGCCUACCAAGCCGACGAUCUGUAGCUGGUCUGAGAGGAUGAUCAGCCACACUGGGACUGAGACACGGCCCAGACUCCUACGGGAGGCAGCAGUGGGGAAUUGUGGACAAUGGGCGCAAGCCUGAUCCAGCCAUUCCGCGUGCAGGAUGAAGGCCUUCGGGUUGUAAACUGCUUUUGUACAGAACGAAAAGCUCUGGGUUAAUACCCUGGGGUCAUGACGGUACUGUAAGAAUAAGCACCGGCUAACUACGUGCCAGCCGCCGCAGUAAAAC
rnacentral:rRNA from 1 species